GUGUCUUCGGACCGUGUCGGACGGUUGAGUAACGCGUGAGAAUCUAUUCUUCGGGUCGGGGACAACCACUGGAAACGGUGGCUAAUACCGGAUGUGCCGAGAGGUGAAAGAUUUAUUGCCUGAAGAUGAGCUCGCGUCUGAUUAGCUAGUAGGUGGGGUAAGAGCCUACCUAGGCGACGAUCAGUAGCUGGUCUGAGAGGAUGAUCAGCCACGCUGGGACUGAGACACGGCCCAGACUCCUACGGCAGGCAGCAGUGGGGAAUUUUCCGCAUUGGGCGAAAGCCUGACGGAGCAAUACCGCGUGAGGGAGGAAGGCUCUUGGGUUGUAAACCUCUUUUCUCAAGGAAGAACACAAUGACGGUACUUGAGGAAUCAACAUCGGCUAACUCCGUGCCAGCAGCCGCGGUAAUACGGAGGAUGCAAGCGUUAUCCGGAAUGAUUGGGCGUAAAGCGUCCGCAGGUGGUGAUGUAAGUCUGCUGUCAAAGCGUCUAGCUCAACUAGAUACAGGCAGUGGAAACUACAUGACUAGAGUGCGUUCGGGGCAGAGGGAAUUUCCUGGUGUAGCGGUGAAAUGCGUAGAUAUCAGGAAGAACACCGGUGGCGAAAGCGCUCUGCUAGGCCGCAACUGACACUGAGGGACGAAAGCUAGGGGAGCGAAUGGGGAUUAGAUACCCCAGUAGUCCUAGCCGUAAACAAUGGAUACUAGGCCGUGGCUUGUAUCGACCCCGAGCCCGUGCCGUAGCUUAACGCGUUAAAGUAUCCCCCCCUGGGGAGUACCCACCCAAGGUUGGUGAAAACUCAAAAAGAAUUUGACGGGGUGCCCCCAUCAAACCGGUGGAGAAUGGGGUUUUAAUUUCGAUGCAACGCUGAAAGAAACCCUUACCAAGACUUGACAUGUCGCGAAUCCUGCUGAAAGGCGGGAGUGCCUUCGGGAGCGCGAACACAGGUGGUGCAUGGCUGUCGUCAGCUCGUGUCGUGAGAUGUUGGGUUAAGUCCCGCAACGAGCGCAACCCUCGUUUUUAGUUGCCAGCAUUAAGUUGGGCACUCUAGAGAGACUGCCGGUGACAAACCGGAGGAAGGUGGGGAUGACGUCAAGUCAGCAUGCCCCUUACGUCUUGGGCUACACACGUACUACAAUGCUACGGACAGAGGGCAGCAAGCCGGCAACGGCAAGCAAAUCCCGUAAACCGUAGCUCAGUUCAGAUCGCAGGCUGCAACUCGCCUGCGUGAAGGAGGAAUCGCUAGUAAUUGCAGGUCAGCAUACUGCAGUGAAUUCGUUCCCGGGCCUUGUACACACCGCCCGUCACACCAUGGAAGCUGGCAACGGCCGAAGUCAUUACUCCAACUUUUCGGAGGGGAGGAUGCCUAAA
rnacentral:rRNA from 1 species